UACGUAGGGUGCAAGCGUUGUCCGGAAUUAUUGGGCGUAAAGAGCUCGUAGGCGGUCUGUUGCGUCGGCUGUGAAAACCCGGGGCUCAACUCCGGGCCUGCAGCCGAUACGGGCAGACUAGAGUUCGGCAGGGGAGACUGGAAUUCCUGGUGUAGCGGUGAAAUGCGCAGAUAUCAGGAGGAACACCGGUGGCGAAGGCGGGUCUCUGGGCCGAUACUGACGCUGAGGAGCGAAGGCGUGGGGAGCGAACAGG
rnacentral:rRNA from 1 species